CCCUACGGGAGGCAGCAGUAGGGAAUAUUGCUCAAUGGGGGAAACCCUGAAGCAGCAACGCCGCGUGGAGGAUGAAGGUUUUCGGAUUGUAAACUCCGUUUGUUAGAGAAGAUAAUGACGGUAUCUAACGAAUAAGCACCGGCUAACUCCGAGCCAGCAGCCGCGGUAAUACGGAGGGUGCAAGCGUUACUCGGAAGCACUGGGCGUAAAGAGCGCGUAGGCGGGAUAACAAGUCAGAUGUGAAAUCCUAUGGCUUAACCAUAGAACUGCAUUUGAAACUGUUUUUCUAGAGUAUGGGAGAGGUAAGUGGAAUUCUUGGUGUAGGGGUAGAAUCCGUAGAGAUAAAGAGGAAUACUCGUGGCGAAGGCGACCUGCUAGAACAUAACUGACGCUGAUGCGCGAAAGCAUGGGGAGCGAACAGGAUUAGAUACCCUUGUAGUC
rnacentral:rRNA from 1 species